AACGAACGCUGGCGGCAGGCCUAACACAUGCAAGUCGAGCGCACCUUCGGGUGAGCGGCGGACGGGUUAGUAACGCGUGGGAACAUACCCUUUUCUACGGAAUAGCCUCGGGAAACUGAGAGUAAUACCGUAUACGCCCUUCGGGGGAAAGAUUUAUCGGUGAAGGAUUGGCCCGCGUUUGAUUAGAUAGUUGGUGGGGUAAUGGCCUACCAAGUCUACGAUCAAUAGCUGGUUUGAGAGGAUGAUCAGCAACACUGGGACUGAGACACGGCCCAGACUCCUACGGGAGGCAGCAGUGGGGAAUCUUAGACAAUGGGCGCAAGCCUGAUCUAGCCAUGCCGCGUGAGUGACGAAGGCCUUAGGGUCGUAAAGCUCUUUCGCCGA
rnacentral:rRNA from 1 species